CACCUGCCGGCGACCGGCGCACGGGUGAGUAACACGUAUGGAACCUGCCCGCCACAGGGGGAUAACUCGGGGAAACCCGGCCUAAUACCCCAUGCCGCCCGGACCGGGCAUCUGGUCCGGGCGAAAGGAGGAAUCCGGUGGCGGCUGGGCAUGCGGCGCAUUAGCUUGACGGCGGGGUAACGGCCCACCGUGGCGACGAUGCGUAGGGGUUCUGAGAGGAAGGCCCCCCACACUGGAACUGAGACACGGUCCAGACUCCUACGGAAGGCAGCAG
rnacentral:rRNA from 1 species